rnacentral:misc_RNA from 1 species
UCCAGCAGAAGCUGUAGCUCAGAU